rnacentral:rRNA from 1 species
CCUACGGGGGGCAGCAGUGAGGAAUAUUGGUCAAUGGGCGGAAGCCUGAACCAGCCAAGUAGCGUGCAGGAUGACGGCCCUACGGGUUGUAAACUGCUUUUAUACGGGAAUAACGCGCCUUACGUGUAGGGCUUUGCAUGUACCGUAUGAAUAAGGACCGGCUAAUUCCGUGCCAGCAGCCGCGGUAAUACGGAAGGUCCGGGCGUUAUCCGGAUUUAUUGGGUUUAAAGGGAGCGUAGGCCGCAUGUCAAGCGUGCUGUGAAAUGUCCGGGCUCAACCCGGGCCUUGCAGCGCGAACUGGCGUGCUUGAGUCCGCGGAAAGCAGGCGGAAUUCGUCGUGUAGCGGUGAAAUGCUUAGAUAUGACGAAGAACCCCGAUUGCGAAGGCAGCCUGCUGCAGCGGAACUGACGCUGAUGCUCGAAAGCGCGGGUAUCGAACAGGAUUAGAUACCCGUGUAGUC